GUGCUCGCUUCGGCAGCACAUAUACUAAAAAAUUGGAACGAUACAGAGAAGAUUAGCAUGGCCCCUGCGCAAGGAUAAAAUACACCAAUCUAUAUUUUCUGCAUUCACUA